UACGGAGGGUGCAAGCGUUAUCCGGAUUUACUGGGUUUAAAGGGUGCGCAGGCGGAUAUGUAAGUCAGUGGUGAAAUCUCUAGGCUUAACCUGGAAAUUGCCGUUGAUACUAUAUAUCUUGAAUGUCGUGGAGGUUAGCAGAAUAUGUCAUGUAGCGGUGAAAUGCUUAGAUAUGACAUAGAAUACCCAUUGCGAAGGCAGCUAACUACGCGAUAAUUGACGCUGAUGCACGAAAGCGUGGGGAUCAAACAGG
rnacentral:rRNA from 1 species